rnacentral:misc_RNA from 1 species
UUUUUUUUUUUUUUUUUGUAAUUUCAAUUUUUUCUUAAGAUCAACGGUAAUCAGAUCUAAUUUCCUGUAUUUCGACUCCUAAUAUUUAAUUAUUAAUUUUCAUAAACAAUUUUGAUUUUAGUAUCAAUUAUAACUAAAUUUAGAAGGGUAUAUGAUAAAAUUCACGCUGUAUAUAUUUUAUUCAAGGAAAGUUUCAUAUAAGUAUAUAAUAAAAUGUAUUGAAAAUUUAAAUGUAAAAACCUUUUUGAAGUAAAAUUAUUUUCUUGUUUUGAGUAAAAGAUGAUACAUAUGGGUGCAAGGCACUUAAAAGGCUCAGGAGGUCUACCCAAAAGGGUGAGAUGAAGGGAUCCAUUCUCUCGUAAUCAGUGGUUUCGAGUUCGAGUUUUGGGUGUGAAACACUUUUAAAAUUUGGGAUGGAGCAUUUUGCCUUCCUUUGUGGAUUUGUUAGGUGUGAACUCGAAUUAAUUGAGCAAGUGAAUUUCGAAUAUCAAGUGAUUGUUAU